rnacentral:rRNA from 1 species
GACAGAGGUCCCGAGCGUUAGGCGGAAUCACUGGGCUUAAAGAGUUCGUAGGCGGCAUGAAAAGUAGGGUGUGAAAGCCCUCGGCUUAACCGAGGAAUUGCGCUCUAAACUGUCGUGCUAGAGGAACCUAGAGGUGAGCAGAACAGAUGGUGGAGCGGUGAAAUGCGUUGAUAUCAUCUGGAAUACCGGAGGCGAAGGCGGCUCACUGGGGGUUUUCUGACGCUGAGGAACGAAAGCCAGGGUAGCGAACGGG